rnacentral:rRNA from 1 species
AGGAUGAACGCUGGCGGUCUGCUUAACACAUGCAAGUCGAGCGAGAGCCUGGGGGCUUGCCCCCAGGGGACAGCGGCGAACGGGUGCGUAACACGUGGGCAACCUGCCCCUCUCUCUGGGAUAACCCCCGGGAAACCGGAGCUAAUACCGGAUACUCCGAUCGAACCACAUGGCUUGAUCGGGAAAGGUCCGCCGGAGAGGGAUGGGCCCGCGGCCUAUCAGCUUGUUGGUGAGGUAACGGCUCACCAAGGCGACGACGGGUAGCUGGUCUGAGAGGACGACCAGCCACACUGGAACUGAGAUACGGUCCAGACUCCUACGGAGGCAGCAGUGGGGAAUAUUGCGCAAUGGGCGAAAGCCUGACGCAGCGACGCCGCGUGGGGGAUGAAUGCCUUCGGGUUGUAAACCCUUUCGGCAGGGACGAAGCGAACGUGACGGUACCUGCAGAAGAAGUCCCGGCUAACUACGUGCCAGCAGCCGC